CCAGCAGCUGCGGUAAUUCCGGCUCCAAUAGCGUAUAUUAAAGUUGUUGCAGUUAAAACGCUCGUAGUAUGAGAUGGAGUGUGUGGGGGUGUGGGUCGACAGAUUUGCAUACGCGCGCACUCGUUGUGACAGCAAUGUCGGGGUUACUUUGAGGAAAUUAGGGUGUUAAAGGCAGGCGUGUGCUUGGAUAUCGCAGCAUGGAAUAACGGAGUAGGAUUCGCUUCUUAUUUUGUUGGUUUGAGGGAGUGAGUAAUCAUUAAUAGGGGCAGUUGGGGGCAUUGGUAUUUGGUAGUCAGAGGUGAAAUUCUUGGAUUUACCAAAGACUAACUGGUGCGAAAGCGUUUGCCAAGGAUGUUUUCAUUGAUAAAGAACGAAAGU
rnacentral:rRNA from 1 species